rnacentral:rRNA from 1 species
UGGGGAAUUUUGGACAAUGGGCGAAAGCCUGAUCCAGCAAUGCCGCGUGUGUGAAGAAGGCCUUCGGGUUGUAAAGCACUUUUGUCCGGAAAGAAAUCCUUGGCUCUAAUACAGUCGGGGGAUGACGGUACCGGAAGAAUAAGCACCGGCUAACUACGUGCCAGCAGCCGCGGUAAUACGUAGGGUGCAAGCGUUAAUCGGAAUUACUGGGCGUAAAGCGUGCGCAGGCGGUUUGCUAAGACCGAUGUGAAAUCCCCGGGCUCAACCUGGGAACUGCAUUGGUGACUGGCAGGCUAGAGUAUGGCAGAGGGGGGUUAGAAUUCCACGUGUAGCAGUGAAAUGCGUAGAGAUGUGGAGGAAUACCGAUGGCGAAGGCAGCCCCCUGGGCCAAUACUGACGCUCAUGCACGAAAGCGUGGGGAGCAAACAGGAUUAGAUACCCUGGUAGUCCACGCCCUAAACGAUGUCAACUAGUUGUUGGGGAUUCAUUUCCUAGUAACGUAGCUAACGCGUGAAGUUGACCGCCUGGGGAGUACGGUCGCAAGAUUAAAACUCAAAUGAAUUGACGGGGUCAUAGCUGUUUCCU